AAUACGUAGUUCAUUGUCCUGGUAACUGUCAGGUGUGCUGCAGUUCCACCCAAUCACCGUGGGAGACUGCCACAUAAAGGCGGGCGUAAAGCACCUGUCAGCCCCUUGCUUGCUGGAGGCUGGGUCGCGUCACUCCUGUGCUUCCUCCAUUUCCGCGUUCGUGUGGUUACAGGUGGGCUGCCGGCUGCACUUCUCACGUAUGUCGCCCAUCCAGUGCUAAUGUUAUUGUUUUAUAAAGGUCCACCUGGGUGUUGCUGCUGGCUGCGCGCUGUGUGCCGCGCUGUGUGCCGCUCACUGUCCGCCGCUGGUCGCUCUCGGGGAGCGUGAUUCCUCCGUCCCACGCUGUGUUGGCCGGGAUCGCCUGAUCGGACGACUGACCGUAACGGCGCAGCGCCGACUAAUCCGCUCCUAGAACCGCUGCUGCUUUGCUUCUACUCUGUUUCCACUUCUUUCCCUCAGUUGAAGAGAUUAUUUGGACUGAUUGCUGUGCCGCAUUGGAACUGUGUGUUUGCGGGACUUAUUGUUUCGCCUUACGCCGGACACUCACUGCUCCACCCAGUUUCUGAUCGCCUUGUCCGUUUAUUCGGCUGGUGAUAGUGUACAUGCUUCACCCGUUGCUCGCAGGGCGAAGCGGUCGCUUGGUAACGCAUCUUCGAUUGUUGGCGCAGCCUCAUCUUAACUGUGUGUGUGUGUGUGUGUGUGUGUGUGUGUACUUGCAUGAGAGGACAGUGUGGGAAUAUAACAUAUAUUUGAUUUUGUUCUUUUGUGGUAAUUUCUUUACUUUCGUUUGUAAUUUGUUUUGCUGUAACCCAUAAUUACAAUUAUUCUGUUAGUUUUGGGUUAUUAUGGGUUGCUUUCCAGUUGCUUUUAUAUAGAAUUUUGUUUAUUUGUCAUUGGGUUUAAUUAUUAUAAUUCCUGUACAAUUAAUUCUUUGAUUUCUCUUUUGUUAUUAGUUAUUGUUUUGUUUCAUUAUUUGUUAUUUUCUAAUUUGUUGCUUUCUGGUCGCCCCCAUUCAGGUGCUGAGCCUACGGUGGUGGAUUGGUGUCCUGGUCACGGUGUCCCCUUUUUGUUGUGUUAGCACUUUGUAGCUUCUUUGUUUUGUUUACUUUUAUUUGCUUCACGUGUGGUGUUCCUGGGAUCCCUUUUCUUUUGGAUACGGUUUUUCGCUGUAGGUCUCAGCACUGAUUGGUUUCCCUUAUAUGUCCCCUUACGUGAGUAAUUCUUUUAUAUUACUUUUAAAAUAGAAAUUUGUGUAAAUAAAAGUGUUUUUGUAUUAUUGAA